rnacentral:rRNA from 1 species
GAUGAACGCUGGCGGCGUGCUUAACACAUGCAAGUCGAACGGGAAAACUUUCAUUGAGACUUCGGUGGAUUUGAUUUAUUUCUAGUGGCGGACGGGUGAGUAACGCGUGGGUAACCUGCCUUAUACAGGGGGAUAACAGUCAGAAAUGGCUGCUAAUACCGCAUAAGCGCACAGAGCUGCAUGGCUCAGUGUGAACAACUCCGGUGGUAUAAGAUGGACCCGCGUUGGAUUAGCUAGUUGGUGGGGUAACGGCCCACCAAGGCGACGAUCCAUAGCCGGCCUGUGAGGGUGAACGGCCACAUUGGGACUGAGACACGGCCCAGACUCCUACGGGAGGCAGCAGUGGGGAAUAUUGCACAAUGGGGUAAACCCUGAUGCAGCGACGCCGCGUGAAGGAAGAAGUAGCUCGGUAUGUAAACUUCUAUCAGCAGGGAAGAUAGUGACGGUACCUGACUAAGAAGCCCCGGCUAACUACGUG